rnacentral:rRNA from 1 species
UACAGAGGUGGCAAGCGUUGUUCGGAAUUACUGGGCGUAAAGGGCGCGUAGGCGGCCUUCUAAGUCAGACGUGAAAUCCCCCGGCUUAACCUGGGAACUGCGUCUGAUACUGGAAGGCUUGAAUCCGGGAGAGGGAUGCAGAAUUCCAGGUGUAGCGGUGAAAUGCGUAGAUAUCUGGAGGAAUACCGGUGGCGAAGGCGGCAUCCUGGACCGGCAUUGACGCUGAUGAGCGAAAGCUAGGGGAGCAAACGGG